UGAGAACUGUUACAUAGACGAUU
rnacentral:siRNA from 1 species